rnacentral:rRNA from 1 species
CCUACGGGAGGCAGCAGUGGGGAAUAUUGGGCAAUGGGCGCAAGCCUGACCCAGCAACGCCGCGUGAAGGAAGAAGGCUUUCGGGUUGUAAACUUCUUUUAAGAGGGAAGAGCAGAAGACGGUACCUCUUGAAUAAGCCACGGCUAACUACGUGCCAGCAGCCGCGUUAAUACGUAGGUGGCAAGCGUUGUCCGGAUUUACUGGGUGUAAAGGGCGUGCAGCCGGGAAGACAAGUCAGAUGUGAAAUCCCGGGGCUCAACCGCGGAACUGCAUUUGAAACUGUUUUUAGUGAGUACCGGAGAGGUCAUCGGAAGUCCGUGGGGAGCGGUGAAAUGCGUAGAGAUAAGGAAGAACAUCAGUGGCGAAGGCGGAUGACUGGACGGCAACUGACGGUGAGGCGCGAAAGCGUGGGGAGCAAACAGGAUUAGAUACCCCAGUAGUC